rnacentral:misc_RNA from 1 species
AAGUCGUAACAAGGUUUCCGUAGGUGAACCUGCGGAAGGAUCAUUAAUGAAAGUCUGGGUCCUCACGGACCCUCUCUCUUCUACACACUUGUGAACCUUACCCUCCCGGAAAGGCUCUCGGAGACGGGCCUCUUUUUGGCCUGUGGACGCUUGCCUGGAAGGGAAUCUUUCCAAACUCAUUCUUAUAUGUCUGAUUCUUGUUUAAUAACAAAACUAUACAAAA